rnacentral:rRNA from 1 species
UACGUAGGGUGCAAGCGUUAAUCGGAAUUACUGGGCGUAAAGCGUGCGCAGGCGGUUUUUUAAGACAGAUGUGAAAUCCCCGGGCUUAACCUGGGAACUGCAUUUGUGACUGGCGGGCUAGAGUAUGGCAGAGGGGGGUAGAAUUCCACGUGUAGCAGUGAAAUGCGUAGAGAUGUGGAGGAAUACCGAUGGCGAAGGCAGCCCCCUGGGCCAAUACUGACGCUCAUGCACGAAAGCGUGGGGAGCAAACAGG